rfam:Exophiala oligosperma strain CBS 72588 unplaced genomic scaffold supercont1.6, whole genome shotgun sequence.
GGAGAGAUGGCCGAGUUGGUUAUGGCGUCAGGUUAAGGCCUUCUAAGUCUUAACAUACGCAUCCUGAUGGGAUUUUCCCGCGUGGGUUCGAAUCCCACUCUCUUCA